rnacentral:rRNA from 1 species
UGAGACCGGCUUUUUGGGAUUCGCUCCACCUUACGGUAUCGCAGCCCUCUGUACCGGCCAUUGUAGCAUGCGUGAAGCCCAAGACAUAAGGGGCAUGAUGAUUUGACGUCAUCCCCACCUUCCUCCGAGUUGACCCCGGCAGUCUCCCAUGAGUCCCCGGCAUAACCCGCUGGCAACAUAGGACGAGGGUUGCGCUCGUUGCGGGACUUAACCCAACAUCUCACGACACGAGCUGACGACAACCAUGCACCACCUGUGUACGAGUGUCCAAAGAGAACCCCGUCUCGGGGGCUUUCUCGUACAUGUCAAGCCUUGGUAAGGUUCUUCGCGUUGCAUCGAAUUAAUCCGCAUGCUCCGCCGCUUGUGCGGGCCCCCGUCAAUUCCUUUGAGUUUUAGCCUUGCGGCCGUACUCCCCAGGCGGGGCACUUAAUGCGUUAGCUGCGGCACGGAACUCGUGGAAUGAGCCCCACACCUAGUGCCCAACGUUUACGGCAUGGACUACCAGGGUAUCCAAUCCUGUUCGCUCCCCAUGCUUUCGCUCCUCAGCGUCAGUUGCGGCCCAGAGACCUGCCUUCGCCAUCGGUGUUCCUCCUGAUAUCUGCGCAUUCCACCGCUACACCAGGAAUUCCAGUCUCCCCUACCGCACUCUAGUCUGCCCGUACCCGAUGCAAGCCCGAGGUUGAGCCUCGGGAUUUCACACCAGACGCGACAGACCGCCUACGAGCUCUUUACGCCCAAUAAUUCCGGACAACGCUUGCGCCCUACGUAUUACCGCGGCUGCUGGCACGUAGUUAGCCGGCGCUUCUUCUGCAGGUACCGUCACUUGCGCUUCUUCCCUGCUGAAAGAGGUUUACAACCCGAAGGCCGUCAUCCCUCACGCGGCGUCGCUGCAUCAGGCUUGCGCCCAUUGUGCAAUAUUCCCCACUGCUGCCUCCCGUAGGAGUCUGGGCCGUGUCUCAGUCCCAGUGUGGCCGGUCGCCCUCUCAGGCCGGCUACCCGUCGACGCCUUGGUAGGCCAUCACCCCACCAACAAGCUGAUAGGCCGCGAGCCCAUCCCCCACCGAAAAACUUUCCAACCCACACCAUGCGAUGCGAGCUCAUAUCCGGUAUUAGACCCCGUUUCCAAGGCUUAUCCCGAAGUGGAGGGCAGGUUGCUCACGUGUUACUCACCCGUUCGCCACUGAUCCACCCAGCAAGCUGGGCUUCAC